CCUACGGGUGGCUGCAGUGGGGAAUAUUGGACAAUGGGGGCAACCCUGAUCCAGCCAUGCCGCGUGUGUGAAGAAGGCCCUCGGGUUGUAAAGCACUUUCAGUGAGGAAGAACGCCUGGUGGUUAAUACCCAUCAGGAAAGACAUCACUCACAGAAGAAGCACCGGCUAACUCCGUGCCAGCAGCCGCGGUAAUACGGAGGGUGCGAGCGUUAAUCGGAAUUACUGGGCGUAAAGCGCGCGUAGGUGGCUUGAUAAGCCGGUUGUGAAAGCCCCGGGCUCAACCUGGGAACGGCAUCCGGAACUGUCAAGCUAGAGUGCAGGAGAGGAAGGUAGAAUUCCCGGUGUAGCGGUGAAAUGCGUAGAGAUCGGGAGGAAUACCAGUGGCGAAGGCGGCCUUCUGGACUGACACUGACACUGAGGUGCGAAAGCGUGGGUAGCAAACAGGAUUAGAUCCCUGGUAGUC
rnacentral:rRNA from 1 species